rnacentral:tRNA from 1 species
AACCCCGAGCAACAUAAGACUGCAAAUCUUUUUAUGCGGAGAGAUUUCCGCCGGGGUUU